rnacentral:rRNA from 1 species
UGGGGGGCCUAUAAUGCAGUCGAGCGCUUCUUUCGUCCCUACUGCUUGCUUCAAUUGGAAAAAGGAGAGUAAUGACGGGUGAUUAACACGUGGGUGCCUACCCAUCACAGGGGGAUAACGCUUGGAAACAGGUGCUAAUACCGCAUAACAGGUUAUGCCGCAUGGCAUCACAGUGUAAGGUGCUUUCGGGUGUCAUUGAUGGAUGGACCCGCGGUGCGUUAACUACUUGGAGAGGUAACGGCUCACCUAGGACGCGAUGCAUACCCGACCUAAGGGGGAGAUCGGCCACACUGCGACUGAAACACGCCCCAGACUCCUACGGGAGGCAGCAGUAGGGAAUCUUCCGCAAUGGACGAAAGUCUGACCAAGGAACGCCGUGGGAGUGAAAAAGGUUUUCGGAUCAAAAAACUCUGUUGUUAGAGAAGAACAAUGACCUUAAUAACUGAACGUCCCCUGACGGUAUCUAACCACAAAGCCACGGCUAACUACAUGGCAGCAGCCGCGGUAAUACAUAGGUGGCAAGCGUUGUCCCGAUUUAUUGGGCGUAAAGCGAGCGCAAGCGGUUUCUUAUGUCUGAUGUAAAAGCCCCCGGCUCAACCGGGGAGGGGCAUUGUAAACUGGGAGACUUGAUUGCAGAAGAGGAGAGUGGAAUUCCAUGUGUACCGGAGAAACGCGUAGAUAUAUGGAGGAAUCUAAUUGUGUUGGUCUCUCUCUGGUCUGUAACUGACGCUGAGGCUCGAAAACGUGGGGAGCAUACACGAUUGAUAUACCCUGCUACUCCACGCCGUAACCAUGAGAGCUAAGUGUUGCAGGGUUCCCCGCCCUUCCUCGCUGCUGCAAACUCACUAAGCACUCCCCCUGGUGAGUACGACCGCAAUGGCUGCAACUCUAAGGAAAUUGACCGGGGGCUCGCAUAACGCGGCGGUAGCAUCGGGAUCUACAUUUUGAAGCCACCACGUAGUACCCUCGCCUGCGUCGUUGAGCAUCCUUUGCCCUCUUCUACUACAUAAAACCUUUCGCUUCGGGAGGACAAAGUGACAGGCGGUGCAUGGUAUGUCUGUCACAUCGAUGACUUUGAAGAUUGCUGAGAAUCAGUCCUGACAUCCAACCGCAGCUCGUAGAUGCUAAGCUUACCGUCAUUAGCUGGAACUCUACGGAAUCGUCGGCUACACUGGACAUGAUGCAUUACGCUUAUGACCUGGGCUACACACGUGCUACAAUGGGAAGUACAACGAGUCGCUAGACCGCGAGGUCAUGCAAAUCUCUUAAAGCUUCUCUCAGUUCGGAUUGCAGGUUGCAACUCGCCUGCAUGAAGCCGGAAUCGCUAGUAAUCGCGGAUCAGCACGCCGCGGUGAAUACGUUCCCGGGCCUUGUACACACCGCCCGUCACACCACGAGAGUUUGUAACACCCGAAGUCGGUGAGGUAACCUUUUUGGAGCCAGCCGCCUAAGGUGGAAUAAGG